rnacentral:misc_RNA from 1 species
GUUGCGGAAGGAUUCAAAUGGAUACUUGUACGAACAAGAUGAAGCAAAGAGUUGGGCCGAACAUUUUGGGCAGCAAGCGAUUUAUGAUCCUCAAGCUCCUUCCCCAAAUAAAAUAUCUUCACCAUUUCUGAAGGCUUGAAAUCUAGCUUUUUUGAAGCCUUUGCCUUAACGGAAGAGACAGUUUCCUCAGCAUCCACAUGUAGUUUACUACCUUUACCUCCCAAGCUCUUUAAUAUAAUUUUCAUAGGUCCUUGAGUGGGCAGCUUCUUUUGUUCUUUGACAGCCACCUCAUUGUCAUGGGGAUACCAUAAAGCUUUUGGUCGAUGAAAAUUAGCUAAAUCUUUAUUGCUCAAUUUCAAUUUCAUUGUCUGCAGCUUAAUUGCAGGUGCUGAAUGAUGAACUCUGGUACCAUAAGCACUUCGUUUGCUAGAAUUCGAUGGCAACUGCUGAGAAAUUUUCCUAUUCAUAUAGAACUUGUCAUUGGCAAUAUUGAA